UGGGGGAUAUUGCACAAUGGAGGAAACUCUGAUGCAGCAACGCCGCGUGAGGGAAGAAGGUCUUCGGAUUGUAAACCUCAGUAGUCAGGGACGAAAGAAAUGACGGUACCUGAAGAGUAAGCUCCGGCUAACUACGUGCCAGCAGCCGCGGUAAUACGUAGGGAGCGAGCGUUGUCCGGAUUUACUGGGUGUAAAGGGUGCGUAGGCGGGAUAGCAAGUCAGACGUGAAAUACCGAGGCUUAACUUCGGGGCUGCGUUUGAAACUGUUAGUCUUGAGUGAAGUAGAGGCAGGCGGAAUUCCUAGUGUAGCGGUGAAAUGCGUAGAUAUUAGGAGGAACACCAGUGGCGAAGGCGGCCUGCUGGGCUUUAACUGACGCUGAGGCACGAAAGCAUGGGGAGCAAACA
rnacentral:rRNA from 1 species